CAAAAAUCAAAACCCCAAAAAUUUACCUAUGCGUAGGCCGCAGAGAAAAAGAGAGAGCACAACAAAUUACUAAAAAAAAAAAAACAACAAUAAUUAAACAUAAACAAUAAACAUGCCCCAAUUUAACAUUAUACUUGAAAAUUGAAAUUGAAAUUAUAUCACAAUUUCACAAUUCGUAUUUCGUAAUUCAUCUCAAUUGGCCACGCUCACGCAUGCCAAGAAGGAAUCGGAUUUGGGGGAAGAAGUAGAACUCAAGAAGGGUUUGACUGAAGGAAAUCAAGAAUUGGAUUUGGGGGAAGGGGAAACUGAAUCUGAAAUUGACUGCAGCUGCGGGGUACUGUACUGUGCGGACGUCGGACCGACUGCUGGAGAGACAAGAGAGUGGAGUGGAAUGUGAAAUUAGUGGACCUCUGCCUCUGGUAAACAGGUAUGUUAUCUAGUUUUUUAACCAUUUGGGCUAGCAUAAUUAUAAAAAAAAAAAGGCCCAACACCAACAAUUCAACAGAAUUUGCCAUCACAGUGAGUCCACAGCCAGAGCAGCAGGUGAGCGGGGGCGAAAUCUGUAAAUCAUCGACUGCCAUCAUAGCCAAUGCGACGCCCGGUGGAGGUUCCGGCGAAUUCAGCUAGGGCGGAGGUUCCGGCGAAUUCAGCUAGGGCGGCCGCCCUAGCUGGCCUAUGGCUGAAUCCGCCUCUGUUUGUAAUAUAAUCUUUCCUUAUACAACACUAUAUUUUUGCCUUUUGAUUGAAUCCAAAACUGUUUGGUUUGCAUUUGGUUUGGGUUUCUUUAGUUUAAUUUGAUAGUUCUUAGAGAAAAAUGGAGGGUGGUGCAGCUGCUAUUUCAACAGAGAAGGCAUCAGAAUCUGCUGUGGUAGCCUCAUACACCUAUUGGGUUAGGGAAUUAACCCAUGAUGCAGCUCCAAGACCCGUCCCCAAGAAGGUUAAUAUGUAGGAUUUUCCCAAUCAAUCCUAGCCGACCCACCUCGACUCCACAUGGAAUUGGGUAUCCAUUUGGAGGAUUUGCCCAAGCGGAUAUGUCGGCACCGACAAUGGUGGCGGAAGGUGGCGGCAGCUUUUGGAUUUGGUUUUGAGGUCUGGGGAUGGGAAUGGAGCUGGGGGUAGAGGGAAGCAGAAGAAG
rnacentral:lncRNA from 1 species